UAAUCUCACCUCUUCGACUUUGUCGAUCAGUGUGGACUUGGAUGUUGCCGUGUAACAAACGGCUCGUCUGAAAUUCCUGAGUGUACCCUGCUUUGCGGCGUAUUCGGUGUGAUAAAUCUUCACCGGAGUCUGACUUUCGAGUCGCGCUUGUAUUGUAUGGCUCUAUGCUUCCAACCGUCCUAACAAGACAAUGUUUGACA
rnacentral:misc_RNA from 1 species